ensembl:snRNA U6 U6 spliceosomal RNA
UCACUUCAGCAACACAUAUACUAAAAUCAAAGCAAUACAGAAAAGAUUAGCAUGGUCCUUGUGCAAGGAUGAUACACAGAUUUGUGAAGUGUUCUGUAUUUUU